UUACGUUUUCGAAUGCAUUUC
rnacentral:piRNA from 1 species